UUACCGUGCACCGCAGGCGGAGCCGCGUCCCGUCCGUGCGGAGGGCUGCGAUGCGCUCACAUCGGAUUGGAGAAAAGAGCUGCAAGGGAUGGUGAGAGUCAAUGCCCAACCUGCACCGAGGGCAGUGCUCUGUCAGUGCUCCAGGGCCGCUGAUGAACCAGGUGCUGUGGGCUGCUGCAGCUGAGACGUCACUAUAAAAGACUAGACGCUUCCAAUUGCUUUUUUAUAAGCUCAGAAUUGAUUUCAUUUGUUUAGCACCUGACUAACAUAAAAGACUAACAGAAGACACGGCCUUCAUCAUGGUGCUGUGAUAUUUAGCCAUGCUGCAAACUCAGAACGAUGCUGGGCUGCAAGCUGCAUGGCUGUGGC
ensembl:lncRNA